AGAAGAAGAGGCAAGAACGACCCCCGGACCGACCAAAGCCCGCGCGCCGCUGCAUCCCGCGUCCAGCACCUACGUCCCGCCGCCGUCGCCGCCGCCACCAUGCCCAAGAGAAAGGCUGAAGGGGAUGCUAAGGGAGAUAAAGCCAAGGUGAAAGACGAACCACAGAGAAGAUCCGCGAGGUUGUCUGCUGUAAGUGUAUGCUUUUGAAUUUUCGUAUUUGUCCCUGAAACUAAAAAACAUCAAAAAACAAUUCCCUUUGCUUCCCAUGAAUCAUGAAACCUGCUCCUCCAAAGCCAGAGCCCAAGCCUAAAAAGGCCCCUGCAAAGAAGGGAGAGAAGGUACCCAAAGGGAAAAAGGGAAAAGCUGAUGCUGGCAAGGAGGGGAAUAACCCUGCAGAAAAUGGAGAUGCCAAAACAGACCAGGCACAGAAAGCUGAAGGUGCUGGAGAUGCCAAGUGAAGUGUGUGCAUUUUUGAUAACUGUGUACUUCUGGUGACUGUACAGUUUGAAAUACUAUUUUUUAUCAAGUUUUAUAAAAAUGCAGAAUUUUGUUUUACUUUUUUUUUUUUUUUAAAGCUAUGUUGUUAGCACACAGAACACUUCAUUGUUGUUUUUGGGGGAAGGGGGGCAUAUGUCACUAAUAGAAUGUCUCCAAAGCUGGAUUGAUGUGGAGAAAACACCUUUCCCUUCUAGUUUUGAGAGACUUCCUCUUGGCUCCCAGGAGGAGGGAUUCCCUGACUUUGACACACAUGGCCACCUUGGCACAAAAGCCUUGUGGUAUGGAAAAACAAAUUUGUUUUUAUGUCCUCUUCUCCCUUUCCAUCUUUCAGCAUAGACUUAACUCCCUUAAGCCCAGACAUCUGUUGGGACCUGACCCCUAGUCAUUGGUUACCAGUGUGUCAGGCAAUCUGGACUUUCCAGUGAUGCCACUGAGAUGG
rnacentral:sRNA from 1 species